rnacentral:rRNA from 1 species
UACGUAGGGGGCAAGCGUUGUCCGGAUUUACUGGGCGUAAAGAGCGCGUAGGCGGAAGCUUAAGUGUGGCCUGAAAGCCCCCGGCUCAACCGGGGAAGGUGGCUGCAAACUGGGCUUCUUGAGGGGGAUAGGGGAAAGUGGAAUUCCGGGUGUAGCGGUGAAAUGCGUAGAGAUCUGGAGGAACACCAAUGGCGAAGGCAGCACUCUGGGACGUGACUGACGCUGAGACGCGAAAGCGUGGGGAGCGAACAGG